GAGCCACCAUUAUUAGUUAGUACGACCAAGGCACAAUUUCAAACUGACUACAUACAUAUAUUGAUAUAUAUAGAAGUACUUUCGAAUCCAGAAUAUCCACGGGUCCGUCGAAAUAUCAGCUUGGCGUACGAGGGCAUAGAGAUCGAACUGCACUAUUUUGAGAUCACAUUAAACCCUCUAAAAACUAGCUAGGGCAAAUUAACUUUUAUAUCUCCUCCUUUUACUGCAAAAAAGAUAAACUCAUUUAAUUACUAUCAAGAAAUGGAAAAACCAGAACCCGGAAGAGAUGGCCAGGUUAAUAAGAUCACAGGUUGCUGCUGCUGCUCCUUCUCCGUCUUCCACUGCUGCUGAGCUGGAACAACAACAACAACUAGUCAAGGAGGAGGAGGUGGGUAUCCGGGAAGGUGGUGCUGUGGUCCCCUAUCAUUUUACUUUCAACCGAUAAUGAAAUGUGUUUUCCGGUUUUACCCCUAAAAAUAUGAUCACGUGAGAGAGACGUGCUAUUUUUAGCCGAAGAAAUAAGCAAAAAAGAGCAUUAGGACCAAAUUGAAUCAUAAUUUAAAUGUGAGGGAUAAUUUUGGCUGAUUUUAUAUAUUAGGGACUAAAAAAGUAGUUUUGGUAAAUGUUAGGGACCAGUUUAAUAAAUUUCCCAAAAAAAAAAAUUAUACUCUGGGAAUAGACCCAAAGGGCCAAAGUCACGAGGGAUGUACUGGCUAUAUAAACCGGACGUAUGCCUUCCAUUGUUCCUCCCCUUCUUCUUCUUUCUCCUUUCCCCUCACUUGCGUCUUUCACUUUCUCUCUGUAAAGACGCACUUGCUCUCUCUCCCUCGCUCUGUCUAUCUCUCCCUGCUAUUUGGAGUUUUCCAUUACAGUUCUGGUACUUUGCUAUUUUCCCUCUUAUUGGACUUUCACCAUUAAAAUCUCCUCCCUUUUACGUCUGCUCCUGCAACAUUACCGCAAUUAAUUUAACUUUGUCUAUCAAAUGGCUACAUAUUAUUUUAUUAAUGUGCAUCUGUAUUGUGUUCGUAUUACAGAUUGUGGGAAGGGGAAAAAGAACCAACAAAAAACUAAAAUGAUGGUUUUUUCUUUUCCCUUUUUUUUUUUUUUUUUUUUUUUUGGUUUUGAAGCACCCUUCUUAUUUGUUUUAAACCUUAACCACAAGGUUUUUCUGUGGGAUUUUCCUUCUUCCAUGGGGUUUUGAUUUCAUGAUUGUCUGGAGGAAAGAAAUUUCUUUUACUUAGUGACAUUUCCAAAUUGUUAGUUUAUCCGCACGUCUAAUUGUUAAAGAGUUCAAAAGAUGCUGCAGGCCCUAUUCUAUUGUUAUAUGAUGCAUAGCGAUAAUGGCGUUAUCACGUAUUGCAAUUAUAAAAAGCUCUGGUUCCGUCGAUUUUGCACAUGACGGCUAAGCUUGGCAAGCUGUCGAGGUUUUUUUGAUUGUUGACCACCAUUUCUUGCUGGAAAUGGUUGGUCGUGAGUUGUCCUGUAAAACUUGGCAAAAGCCCAGGAGAGGGUACCUUAGCUUUUAAAGCAUAUUCCGAUUGUUUUCUCUUUUUUUUUCUUGUGGGCUUGGUUGAAAGAAAAUUGUACACGGUAGUUUGGCGUUUAUUUUACUCCUAUCCCUACGUAACAUGCUCUGACCCAAGACUUGUGCUAAACCAAAAGCUUAAAAAUCAAAAAAGGUUUCUAUACUUAUACUUGCUUGUGUCCUUUUCCUGGGUUUUGCUUAUUCCAGUUGAGAUGGCACCACCAAAGAAGUAAAUAAUAAUAACAAAGAUCAAUGUGAAAAUUUUCAUCAAUCAAGUUUGGUAUGCUUACCUUUUUCACCUGCUGCACAAUGCUUGCGUGUUUAAGUUGUAUACUCAAAUGCAGUUGUUGGAGAUCGAGAUGGAAUUCGAGGGGCGUUACGGACAGGUUCAGAGGCAAAAGUAUGACUGCCUUUUAUUUGGU
rnacentral:lncRNA from 1 species